rnacentral:rRNA from 1 species
UACGGAGGGGGCUAGCGUUGUUCGGAAUUACUGGGCGUAAAGCGCGCGUAGGCGGACCUGCAAGUCGGGGGUGAAAGCCCGAGGCUCAACCCUCGGAACUGCCUUCGAUACUGCGGGUCUCGAGUCCGGGAGAGGUGAGUGGAAUUCCUAGUGUAGAGGUGAAAUUCGUAGAUAUUAGGAAGAACACCAGUGGCGAAGGCGGCUCACUGGCCCGGUACUGACGCUGAGGCGCGAAAGCGUGGGGAGCAAACAGG